GUAAGCUGGACAGCCGCGCGGGCGGGGCGAAAGGCCCGCCUGUGAGGAAAGUCCGGGCUCCGCAGGGCAAGGAUAACGGGUAACACCCGCCGGGGGCGACCCUAGGAAAAGUGCAACAGAGAUAUACCGCCUCGAUCCCCCGUGAGCGGGGGAGGAGGCGCGGUGGAAUGAGCGAGCUUUCCCUUGGGGGAAGCGAGGGAUAUGAAACUUGCGCCGGUGAGGUAAGGGUGGAAAGGUGAGGUAAGAGCUCACCCGACGGCUGGGAACUGUCCGUCGCUGUAAACUCUAUCCGGAGCAACGCCGUGGAGGGACACACAGGUCGGCCCGACCGUCCCGGGGAGGCGGCUGGAGCGCACCGGCAACGGUGCGUCGAGAUAGAUGGCUGUCUUAAAAGACAGAACCCGGCUUACAGGCUUACUUG
rnacentral:RNase_P_RNA from 1 species